rnacentral:rRNA from 1 species
AGUGGCGAACGGGUGAGUAAUAUAUCGGAACGUACCCAAGAGUGGGGGAUAACGUAGCGAAAGUUACGCUAAUACCGCAUACGAUCUAAGGAUGAAAGCAGGGGACCGCAAGGCCUUGUGCUCCUGGAGCGGCCGAUAUCUGAUUAGCUAGUUGGUGAGGUAAAGGCUCACCAAGGCAACGAUCAGUAGCUGGUCUGAGAGGACGACCAGCCACACUGGAACUGAGACACGGUCCAGACUCCUACGGGAGGCAGCAGUGGGGAAUUUUGGACAAUGGGGGCAACCCUGAUCCAGCAAUGCCGCGUGAGUGAAGAAGGCCUUCGGGUUGUAAAGCUCUUUUGUCAGGGAAGAAAAGGUCGUGGCUAAUAUCCACGGCUGCUGACGGUACCUGAAGAAUAAGCACCGGCUAACUACGUGCCAGCAGCCGCGGUAAUACGUAGGGUGCAAGCGUUAAUCGGAAUUACUGGGCGUAAAGCGUGCGCAGGCGGUUUCGUAAGUCUGUCGUGAAAUCCCCGGGCUUAACCUGGGAAUGGCGAUGGAGACUGCGAGGCUAGAGUUUGGCAGAGGGGGGUAGAAUUCCACGUGUAGCAGUGAAAUGCGUAGAGAUGUGGAGGAACACCGAUGGCGAAGGCAGCCCCCUGGGUCAAAACUGACGCUCAUGCACGAAAGCGUGGGGAGCAAACAGGAUUAGAUACCCUGGUAGUCCACGCCCUAAACGAUGUCUACUAGUUGUUGGGUCUUAAUUGACUUAGUAACGCAGCUAACGCGUGAAGUAGACCGCCUGGGGAGUACGGUCGCAAGAUUAAAACUCAAAGGAAUUGACGGGGACCCGCACAAGCGGUGGGAUGAUGUGAUUAAUUCGAUGCAACGCGAAAACCUUACCUACCCCUGACAUGGCAGAAUCCUGGAGAGAUCUGGGAGUGCUCGAAAGAGGACCUGCACACAGGUGCUGCAUGGCUGUCGUCAGCUC